UCAGAGUUUUGCAUGAAGGAGAUACAUUCCCUAAUUUAGAAUGAUUUCUAAUUUCUGAACAGAUAAUUUCAUUCAGAACAAUAUCCGUACUUGCAUGCCAGAACCAAACCAAUGGCUACUUGGCUAGUGAUACUUUUUGGACUAACAGUCCACUAACAAAGGUAUCCACCCAGUAGUAGGAAUGAAAUAAUGAAAUAAACGGUACUAAUUUUACAGCACCAGAUGCACAUUUGACAGUAAAUUUCUCUUCAGUGAUGCUCGAGGCCAACAUAUUUGAAAAUUCAACUCAUUCAUGUUAUGUAUAAUACACUAAACCCAUGCUUUGUUAUGCAUCUUAUCACAGUCUUUUCCAACACGAAACCCACUUGCAAAGAUAGAGGGACACAAAGGUUUGAAAUUUAGCUUUUGUUUAAAAUAUUGAAGUUUUUAUUUAAACAUAAAAAAGAAGAAUGUUUACCUUUUUCAAAACGAAAUUAACUUCCACUGUAUAAGUGGACCUGCAUGGUAAACUUAAUCAUUCCUAUUUAAAUACAACCGUUUGCUUAUCGCUUUUAUUGUACAUUUCGUUCUUCAAAAACUUAGAGUAGUAGAUUAUUCGUGCUGACAAACAUCAGUUUUUCCAAAAGAAAGGUGACUGGAUUUUUUUUCUUUCAGAUUGGGGAUAUUACAUCCUCUUUUCAUUCGUGGGAGGUUUUUUUGGAGUCUGUAUUUCAUUAAUAUGGAAUUCUUUUCGUGAUGAUAACGUUACCUCCGCAGUUCCUAAGGUGGACAACAAGAUAUGAAAAUGUCAGAUGUCGAAAAAGGGAAACUGUCAACGAAGGCAUCCUGAGAUUGUCGAGUUGGAUAGUCAUUGUAGUCGAAAUAAUGUUCCGAGGCAGAAGUGGUUUAAAAGAUUGCUAAAGAUAGACGUAAUAUGGUAAAUCCAGGUGAACUGAAACCCGCAUUGUUCUUUUUCUCGAAUCGACUAUAAGUCUUCAAUACAUAAAGGAAUGCUUAAAAAUGAAUAAGCCUGAUACCUUCGAUAACUAUUGAGCCUAAUAUAAUCUUUGCAGCCGUCUGAUUCUUCAUAAUUGUUGCUUACAAUUUCUCCUUUCUUACUAGAUUCUUAUAUUGCAUAAAGACUGUCUGAAUACAAUUGUGCAGGAAAAUGUACCACUAAAGUCGUCGGUUAGGGAAUUUAUCUAGUUGUUAAUUGUUAAGAACAGUAAUGCAUUAAUAUAUGAUUGACUAUAUUAGAUGUUGUUUCUGUGAUAUUUGAUAUAUGUUCAAUGAGUACAUUCCACUUGCAAAUAAAUGAAGUAUGUCGUAAAA